rnacentral:lncRNA from 1 species
GGGUAGAGGCAUUGCAGACAUGCCUUAGCCUCAACGUUGGAGGCUCAGUCUUUCCAAGGACCUAUUUUCCAUGUUACUGCUGCAUCUCUGUGGAAUAAAGUUUUGUAAACACUUACUGAUUAUAGCCAAGAAGGUGACAACUGCAUUUGGUUGACUUUGCUGCCAUUUAACCCUGAGCUGUUAGGAGAGACACACGUGCUUUAGCCUCUCAGGGUAGCAGCCCACAGGCUCCUUUUGACGGGAGCAGCUGGGAUGGGGUCAACCCCAUGUGGGGGGUAGCUCGCUCUGUUAGCCCUUUUCGGCA